GCCAGCAGCCAUAUCACUCUGCAACUCACAACUAGCAGCCCACUGAAGCUAAACAGGUUUGAGCCUGGUCAGUACCUGAAUGGGAGACCUCCUGGGAAAAACUAAGGUUGCUGCUGGAA
ensembl:rRNA 5S_rRNA 5S ribosomal RNA